UCUCCGUAGGUGAACCUGCGGAGGGAUCAUUACUGAGUGAGGGCUUCGGUCCGACCUCCAACCCUUUGUGAACCAAACUUGUUGCUUCGGGGGCGACCCUGCCGGCACUCGGUCGCCGGGCGCCCCCGGAGGUCUUCUAAACACUGCAUCUUUGCGUCGGAGUUUAAACAAAUAAAACAAAACUUUCAACAACGGAUCUCUUGGUUCCAGCAUCGAUGAAGAACGCAGC
rnacentral:misc_RNA from 1 species